rnacentral:rRNA from 2 species
GGGGGAUAUUGCACAAUGGAGGAAACUCUGAUGCAGCAACGCCGCGUGAAGGAAGACGGUCUUCGGAUUGUAAACUUUUGUACUUGGGGACGAUAAUGACGGUACCCAAGCAGCAAGCUCCGGCUAACUACGUGCCAGCAGCCGCGGUAAUACGUAGGGAGCGAGCGUUGUCCGGAUUUACUGGGUGUAAAGGGAGCGUAGACGGCGAAGCAAGUCUGAAGUGAAAACCCAGGGCUCAACCCCGGGACUGCAUUGGAAACUAUGUAACUAGAGUGUCGGAGAGGUAAGUGGAAUUCCUAGUGUAGCGGUGAAAUGCGUAGAUAUUAGGAGGAACACCAGUGGCGAAGGCGGCUUACUGGACGAUCACUGACGUUGAGGCUCGAAAGCGUGGGGAGCAAACA